GAUGAACGCUGGCGGCGUGCCUAAUACAUGCAAGUCGAGCGAACAGACGAGGAGCUUGCUCCACUGACGUUAGCGGCGGACGGGUGAGUAACACGUGGCUAACCUACCUAUAAGACUGGGAUAACUUCGGGAAACCGGUGCCAAUACCGGAUAAUAUAUUGAACGGCAUGGUUCAAUAGUUAUAUCCGGUGUUGCUGUCACUGAUAGCUGUAUCCGCGCCGCAUGAGCUAGUUGGUACGGUAACGGCUUACCAAGGCAACGAGGCGUGGCCGACCUGAGAGGGUGACCGGCCACACGGGAACUGAGACACGGUCCAGACUCCGACGGGAGGCAGCAGUAGGGAACCUUCCGCAAUGGGCGGAAGCCUGACGGAGCAACGCCGCGUGAGUGAGGAAGGUCUUCGGAUCGUAAAACUCUGUUAUUAGGGAAGAACAAAUGUGUAAGUAACUAUGCACGUCUUGACGGUACCUAAUCAGAAAGCAACGGCUAACUACGUG
rnacentral:rRNA from 1 species